rnacentral:rRNA from 1 species
UACGUAGGGUGCGAGCGUUGUCCGGAAUUAUUGGGCGUAAAGAGCUUGUAGGCGGUUUGUCGCGUCUGCCGUGAAAAUCCGGGGCUCAACCCCGGACUUGCGGUGGGUACGGGCAGACUAGAGUGUGGUAGGGGAGACUGGAAUUCCUGGUGUAGCGGUGAAAUGCGCAGAUAUCAGGAGGAACACCGAUGGCGAAGGCAGGUCUCUGGGCCGUAACUGACGCUGAGGAGCGAAAGCGUGGGGAGCGAACAGG